rnacentral:rRNA from 1 species
CCUACGGGUGGCUGCAGUCGAGAAUCUUUCACAAUGGGGGCAACCCUGAUGGAGCGACGCCGCGUGGAGGAUAAGGUCUUCGGAUUGUAAACUCCUGUCAUGCGCGAACAAGGUUGCAGGGCUAACACCUUUGCAAAUUGAUGGUACCGCAAGAGGAAGAGACGGCUAACUCUGUGCCAGCAGCCGCGGUAAUACAGAGGUCUCAAGCGUUGGUCGGAAUCACUGGGCGUUGGGGUGGCAUGUCAGGCGUUAAAGCCCGGGGCUCAACCUCGGAAUUGCAUCCGAUACUGCCAUGCUGGAGUACUGAAGAGGUGACUAGAAUUCUAGGUGUAGCAGUGAAAUGCGUAGAUAUCUAGAGGAAUACCAACGGCGAAGGCAGGUCACUGGGCAGUUACUGACACUGAGGCACGAAGGCCAGGGGAGCAAACGGGAUUAGAUACCCCUGUAGUC